rnacentral:lncRNA from 1 species
CUCGUGAAAGAAUGAUAAAUAUGCUUGCAAGUCGUUCUUCAUGCAGCAAUUUGAACUCGAGUCAAUCAAGAGAUUUUUCUUUGCCUCUUUCCAGAUUUAUUCUCUCUGAGUGGGGCUUAGAAUCAGACAAUAUUGUUGAUGAAUGGGUGAUACCGCAUCUUGGAGUCCGCAGUGCUUUAGGAUAUUGAUUUCGUGAUUUCUCCCAUCUGCUUUUAUUGGCAUCAUCAGACUGUAUAGGACAACAUGGAGUUUCCAUAUUAUAGAUAGAUUCAGACUUCUGCUUGUUCUUGAUGUCAUUCAUUGAUUGACGACGACUGAGGUUUGCCGUAACUGAUUUAGCUUUGCAUGAAAAGAAUUCUACGAUGACUCUCAACCAUCAUGAAAAAAGG